UGUGUAGGUGGAUCGUUAAGUACCUUGUGAAAUCCCACGGCUUAACCGUGGAACUGCUUGGUAUACUGGCGAUCUUGAGCCAGCUAGGGGCUACCGGAACAAAUGGUGGAGCGGUGAAAUGCGUAGAUAUCAUUUGGAACGCCAAUGGUGAAAACAGGUAGCUGGGGCUGUGCUGACACUGAGACACGAAAGCCAGGGGAGCAAACG
rnacentral:rRNA from 1 species